AGUCAAAACUCUACCAAUUGCCAGUGGUGAAGCUGGUAUAAGCCACGUAUCUCUGAGCCAAUUUUCUUAUCAUCAAAGUGAAGACAAUAGCACCAGCCAUACCUUCCUUAGGGCGUUUUGCAGGCUAAAUGAGAUAGUGGGUGAGAAAGCAUCUUCAGAAUUGCUACCCUCUUUUGAACUAUAGUGUUGCUGUUGGUAAUAAUAUUAUAAGCAGAGCUGAAUGGGGAGUUCCUAAGCAACCAUCUGAACUCGGGUCCCUCGUUGGCUGCUCGUCAGAUUUCUCUCUUCAAUUCCAAGCGCAUCUUAUGUAAACAAUAGUGUCUGUGAUAGUGGAUGUGAUUGUGUGCUACCUGGAUCUCCUAGCUGAAAUCCUUCCAAGAAUUUCCUUCAGUCAAUGGGAGCCACCCCCCCUGAGGUUAUGGCUCCAGGUGAAGAUUAAACAGCUGUAGAAGUGUCAUCCAAGAUUGGCCAAUGCUGUUCCUGAGAGUCCUUCCUGGAGAGCCAUCUGCACACAGAUCUCAGUCUCAGAGUCUAUUUCCCAAUGAAUCUAAUCUGAGAGAUCUCUUCAUUUGCUGUUUUUUCCCUGUA
rnacentral:lncRNA from 1 species